rnacentral:tRNA from 1 species
AGAGUAGGUUUGGAUACAAAGUAGGGCUGCUAACUUUACUUUGAGCAGUUCGAUUCUGUUUUUACUUUU